CAACACUUUCUUUUCCAUGUUAGAUUGAAUAGCACUAUUUCCACAUUAAGCACUGGAUCUCGUCACCUCCUGAGCUUCACCUCUGUUCUCUAUAUCAAGAAAAUGAAAUGUUGAAAGUGGGUACAUCAACUCUAUUUGACAGAGGGAGCACACAUCUGCCAACCCCCACCAGCAAGCCACGACAAGGGAGGCCUCCCACGACGCCAGAGGUGGAUUUGGACGCGCCAUCGUGAUGUAGCCGCUGCUGUCACCAGCCUCAAGACCGCACCAACUCCAUGCCACCCGUCGCACCGCCACCAUGACAUCGUCGGCGGCUAACUCCGGACCGCCGCCGCACUGCAUUACCCGUCACCAACGCCACAUCCCGUCCCGAGAAGAACCAGUCGAUCGAGUUCCCGGUUCAAAAGGUAAAUAUGGCCAGUCCAGAUUUUUCUAGCCGGGCUAUCCACGAUCAGGUUUACUCUGAAGUCUGAACUAAUAAAAAGGUCGAUCACUUCUCGCCUCUGAAGUGCAUAGUGUGUGUUGUUGUAUUGUGUGAAGUAUUUUGCUUUGUACUCCCUCCAUCCCACAAUGUAAGACCUGGCUUACAUUGUGGGAUGGAGGGAGUAUUAAU
rnacentral:lncRNA from 1 species